rnacentral:rRNA from 1 species
UACGUGCCAGCAGCCGCGGUAAUACGUAGGGUGCGAGCGUUAAUCGGAAUUACUGGGCGUAAAGCGAGCGCAGACGGUUACUUAAGCAGGAUGUGAAAUCCCCGGGCUCAACCUGGGAACUGCGUUCUGAACUGGGUGACUAGAGUGUGUCAGAGGGAGGUAGAAUUCCACGUGUAGCAGUGAAAUGCGUAGAGAUGUGGAGGAAUACCGAUGGCGAAGGCAGUCUCCUGGGAUAACACUGACGUUCAUGCUCGAAAGCGUGGGUAGCAAACAGGAUUAGAUACCCUGGUAGUCCACGCCCUAAACGAUGUCAAUUAGCUGUUGGGCAACUUGAUUGCUUAGUAGCGUAGCUAACGCGUGAAAUUGACCGCCUGGGGAGUACGGUCGCAAGAUUAAAACUCAAAGGAAUUGACGGGGACCCGCACAAGCGGUGGAUGAUGUGGAUUAAUUCGAUGCAACGCGAAGAACCUUACCUGGUCUUGACAU